rnacentral:rRNA from 1 species
CCUACGGGAGGCAGCAGUGAGGAAUAUUGGUCAAUGGACGAGAGUCUGAACCAGCCAAGUAGCGUGAAGGAUGACUGCCCUAUGGGUUGUAAACUUCUUUUAUAUGGGAAUAAAAUGUUCCACGUGUGGGAUUUUGUAUGUACCAUAUGAAUAAGGAUCGGCUAAAUCCGUGCCAGCAGCCGCGGUAAUACGGAGGAUCCGAUCGUUAUCCGGAUUUAUUGGGUUUAAAGGGAGCGUAGGUGGAUUGUUAAGUCAGUUGUGAAAGUUUGCGGCUCAACCGUAAAAUUGCAGUUGAAACUGGCAGUCGUGAGUACAGUAGAGGUGGGCGGAAUUCGUGGUGUAGCGGUGAAAUGCUUAGAUAUCACGAAGAACUCCGAUUGCGAAGGCAGCUCACUGGACUGCAACUGACACUGAGGCUCGAAAGUGUGGGUAUCAAACAGGAUUAGAUACCCGAGUAGUC